rnacentral:lncRNA from 10 species
GGGCAUCCGUGUCCUUGCGGUGCUGGGCAGCAGACCGUCCAAACCGACACGCGUGGUAUCCUCGCGGUGUCCGGCAAGAGACUACCAAGACAGACGCUAUGGCGGAAGAGUGAUACAAGAGGUACUUCUCAUCUUCUACCUGGUUACCGCCUAAUACAGCAUUUAGGAAAGGCACAGAAGAUGAUUGUUUCCCUUUCCCAGUUUUCAAAAUAUUGAGUUGCUAUCACUUGCAUAGUUUUGACUUUUAAACCAUGAAGAUAUUUUACAUAUUUGAAAAAUAAAAUUUAAAGCAAGCUGACUACAAAAUAAAUCUACUUGUAUACCAAAUUGCUAACCACAAGGAAAAUUUUAAUUUGAAUAACUUUUGAACAAAGUCCUGCCACUGGAUGGCUUUGAUAGGAUAUAUCCUAAGAACAAAAAUAAAUUUUGACUUUGACUGAGGCUGAUGUGAAUCCAAAGGCCUAUCCCCUUGCCGAUGCCCACCUCACCAAGAAGCUACUGGACCUCGUUCAGCAGUCAUGUAACUAUAAGCAGCUUCGGAAAGGAGCCAAUGAGG